GUCCACGCCUAACGAUGGAUACUAGACGUAAGAGGUAUCGACCCUCUUGUGUCGCAGCUAACGCACUAAGUAUCCCGCCUGGGGAGUACGGCCGCAAGGUUGAAACUCAAAUGAAUUGACGGGACCCGCACAAGCGGUGGAGCAUGUGGAUUAAUUCGAUACUAACCGAAGAACCUUACCCAGGUUUGACAUUGAAGGAAACCCCGAGAGAUCGGGGCCUCGCCCACAAGGCGACCUGAAAACAGAUGUUGCAUGGCUGUCGU
rnacentral:rRNA from 1 species